rnacentral:rRNA from 1 species
CAGCCGCCACGGGAAUACGAGGGGGGCAAGCGUUGUUCGGAAUUAUUGGGCGUAAAGGGCGCGUAGGCGGUUUGACAAGUUUGGUGUGAAAUCUAUGGGCUCAACCCAUAGCCUGCAUCGAAAACUGUCGGGCUUGAGUAUGGGAGAGGUGAGUGGAAUUUCCGGUGUAGCGGUGAAAUGCGUAGAUAUCGGAAGGAACACCUGUGGCGAAAGCGGCUCACUGGACCAUUACUGACGCUGAGGCGCGAAAGCUAGGGGAGCAAACAGGAUUAGAUACCCGCGUAGUCCCUGUCUCUUAUAC